rnacentral:tRNA from 1 species
GACUCCGUGGCCAAGUUGGUUAAGGCGUGCGACUGUUAAAAAAACUAAUAGUUAUCGCAAGAUCGUCAGUUCAAUCCUGACCGGGGUCG